UGGCGCGUGGCCAAGUGGUUAAGGCGUUAGACUAGCAAUCUGAAGGUCGUGAGUUCGAGCCCCAGCCGAGGCAG